rnacentral:misc_RNA from 1 species
AAGUCGUAACAAGGUUUCCGUAGGUGAACCUGCGGAAGGAUCAUUACCAGGUCAUGUCGGAUUUGAAACUCACAAGAGCGAUAAUCCGGCAGCCCCCCACGAUCAUCCACAAUGUGCACACAUCGAAACAUGCUUUGGCAGACUUCUCUCGAGGAAAACCCCGAGGGGAUUGUGGGCGUCGCGCUCGCGUCCCCUGGACGGGGGGGAAAAAUCUGUCAGAGUUUUUUUAAUCGAACCCAUAGCCUGAUUGCUUGACUGAAUUUGUUUGGGCAAUUUUGUCCAAAGCGAAAGCAAUAAAUACAACUUUCAACAACGGAUCUCUUGGCUCUC